UACGGGGGGGGCAAGCGUUGUUCGGAAUUACUGGGCGUAAAGGGCUCGUAGGCGGCUCGUUAAGUCAGACGUGAAAGCCCUCGGCUUAACCGGGGAACGGCGUCUGAGACUGGCAAGCUGGAAUCCGGGAGAGGGAUGCGGAAUUCCAGGUGUAGCGGUGAAAUGCGUAGAUAUCUGGAGGAACACCGGUGGCGAAGGCGGCAUCCUGGACCGGUAUUGACGCUGAGGAGCGAAAGCCAGGGGAGCAAGCGGG
rnacentral:rRNA from 1 species